GGAUUCCCCUAGUACUGCGAGUGAAGCGGGAAAAGCUCAAAUUUAAAAUCUGGCGGUCUCUGGCCGUCCGAGUUGUAAUCUAGAGAAGUAAUGCCCGUGCUGGACCGUGUAUAAGUCUCCUGGGAUGGGGCGUCAUAGAGGGUGAGAAUCCCGUCUUUGACACGGACUACCAGUGCAUUGUGGUAUGCUCUCAAAGAGUCGAGUUGUUUGGGAAUGCAGCUCAAAAUGGGUGGUAAAUUCCAUCUAAAGCUAAAUAUUGGCGAGAGACCGAUAGCGAACAAGUACCGUGAGGGAAAGAUGAAAAGAACUUUGGAAAGAGAGUUAAACAGUACGUGAAAUUGCUGAAAGGGAAACGCUUGAAGUCAGUCGCGUUGGCCGGGGAUCAGCCUUGCUUUUGCAUGGUGUACUUUCUGGUUGACGGGUCAGCAUCAAUUUUGACCGCUGGAAAAGGCUCAAGGGAAUGUGGCAGCUUCGGCUGUGUUAUAGCCCUUGUUCACAUACAGUGGUUGGGAUUGAGGAACUCAGCACGCCGCAAGGCCGGGUUUCGACCACGUUCGUGCUUAGGAUGCUGGCAUAAUGGCUUUAAGCGACCCGUCUUGAAACACGGACCAAGGAGUCUAACAUGCCUGCGAGUAUUUGAGUGGAAAACCCAAGUGCGCAAUGAAAGUGAAAGUUGAGAUCCCUGUCGUGGGGAGCAUCGACGCCCGGACCAGAACUUUUGGGACGGAUCCGCGGUGGAGCAUGUAUGUUGGGACCCGAAAGAUGGUGAACUAUGCCUGAAUAGGGUGAAGCCAGAGGAAACUCUGGUGGAGGCUCGUAGCGAUUCUGACGUGCAAAUCGAUCGUCAAAUUUGGGUAUAGGGGCGAAGACUAUCGA
rnacentral:rRNA from 1 species